rnacentral:rRNA from 1 species
AUUCCAGCUCCAGUAGCGUAUAUUAUAACUGUUGUAGUUAAAAAGCUCGUAGUUGAAUAUCUGGCGUUGGGAAGCCCUGCCCGCCGCGAUUCGCGUGUGAGUUGUGGGGCGUCCCCGCCAUCCUGUGUGGGAGCCCGCCUACCCUUCAUUGGGCCGGGCGGUGCGAGCACACUCAGUUACUUUGAGAAAAUCUGCGCGUUCAAAGCAGGCACACGCUAUGAAAGCUUCAGCAUGGAAUAACAUGAUAGGACCUGGGUCUCUAUUUUGUUGGUUUCUAGGAUCGAGGUGAUGAUUGAUAGGGACAGUUGGGGGUGCUUGUAUUUAACGGCCAGAGGUGAAAUUCUUGGAUUCGUUAAAGACAAACUACUGCGAAAGCAUUCACCAAGGAUGUCUUCAUUG